UGAAUUUUGAGAUGAUGUCUUAAAGUUAUGGGUCCUAUCCGUUAUUAUGUGGAUAUAAUUUACUGGUGAAAUCCCGUGAAUUGCUCUUACCUAAAUACACCACAAAUCCUUCCCAACAAUCACCACCUAAUCCAGCAACAAAUUCAUCAUCCUCUCCCUUGAUUUUUUUCGAUCAUGUCGUCUCCCUUGAUUCUCUUCCACUAUUAUCCUCUCCACAAUCCAUUGCAGCGGAAAGUUAUCUCCAUCGCAACUCGCCCUCGUCAACAGAAUCAUCGGGGUUAACCAUAAUGUCCUCUAAUUAGUUGCCGGUGUCCACCUCGUCUCCGACGUCCUCAAGUCCAAACUCUCCCUCCUCUCUGACCUCUUCGCCAUCAGCCAGCUCUUCAUCGUCGGCUACCGCUUUAGCUUCGCCCACAAUGGCAACAAUGGCGUUCAAUCCCUUUGCUUAAUGCGUCAUCCUGAACCCAAAUCUUGUAAUUUCAAGCACAUUCACUUUUUUUGGGGGGAGCACAUUUUCCUACACAAGGUACAUUAAGGACGUUCAUCUCUCUCUUUUUACUAGGUGACCGGCUCGUGCUAGCAUAAGGUGUCUCAUGCCUGGUAUUGGGACGAGGUGUCUCAUGCCUGGAAUUCUUUUGUUUCAAGCAUUGGUAUUGUAAUAGUAGAAUAUGUUUUGCGAGCAGUUUGGAUAUAUUUACAAUACUUUUAAGCCAUAGUUAAGUUAAUUACACACAAGAGAGAGUGCUAGAGUUCAAAAGCAAAUGAUAGAAACCAAAAGAUUUGUCCAUAGUUUUGGGAAGCAACGGAGCUAGAAUAGUAGAGAUGGCUGCAAAUCAUGCAAUCCAUUCCCAGCUUCUAGUCCUUAUCACUACCGAAUGCAGCCCAGCUUCAACAAACUAUAACUUAGCAAUUCAGAGUAACUUUGUAAAAAUAAGACCCCCAAAAAGUUCCUUAUGAGAACUUUGUUCGUGCACUUAAUUCUAACAUCUAUUCACAGCAAUAUGAAUUGUAUUAGACAUACAUAUCAGAAAAUAAUCCGUGAAGGUAAGAGCUUCGUGCUACCAUUAAAUGAUAAAUUGAUUCAGGUUGAACUUUGCUGGUAAACCAUCCUACAAAAUUCAUACGAACAAGUCACAAGACUUGAUGCGAACUGCAACAGUAGCCUAGGGAACUUGAAAUAAUCUAUGAUGAGAUCUUACACAAAACAAUGAGGAAUCCAAAACAAGUAAAUUGCAUGAUACAUCUACCAGGUAUAUUGCAUCUUUCCAAGGGAUCGACGGCUUUACCUGGCAAAUGUCUAUCUGCUUCAUCAACUCUUGGUUAUUAUUCUGCAGAUCAUUCAGCAAGGGAGCCUUUGGUAAGGCAACCUGAACGGUCCUCUCUGCUUCAAGCAAAGCAGCUUCUUUUGACUUGGUGACGAUCUAAUGCCUUGUUAUCAUCCUGCAACUUCGUAAUCUGAAACGAACAAUCACAUCUAAUCAAUUAUUUCAGAAUUCUGUAACGAGAACAUUGGAGGUCAAAGCCUUGAAUACCUCUAGCCAAGCAAGCUUAAGUUCAGCCUCCAAAGGUGGAAGAACGGCUUCAAUUGGAGGCAUGUCAUCAUCUUUUUGAGUAGCAUGAACCGUUCACAGAGUGGCUUCUGAUGCAAAUCACCGUACUUGGUUGUUACUGCCAGAUCUUGCCUACACCAUGGCAAAUAAACUGGACUUCUAUGACAGAGAUGAUGUAAAAUUCUUAAAUGAGUAGUUUAAUUGUGUAGUGGA